rnacentral:lncRNA from 1 species
GCAGAAUGAGCCCUGGUCCAGUCGGGAUUGCAAUCAAGCCACCAAAACUUGAUUGUCAUGUUGGAUGCGCCAAGGCAAGGCACAUAUUUUUUAGCAGGUGAGGCUGGAGAAAGUUUGAGACCCCCAUAUUGAGAGGGUUUUGGGGGUGAAGGGUUUUCUGGGUAAUAGCAUAGUUAUUACUGGGGCUCAGAAAAUGACACCCCAAACAAUGGCACUUUGACAUGCUGAGUGCUGUGUACUACAGGAGAGCUAAGAUCUCUCAGAUCUUCUCCUGCCUUCCUCUCACCGCCCUCCACCCCCACCCCCAAAGUAGGGAGGGGUUUUCUCUGAAGUCCUUUCAUCUGCCUUGAGAUGGAUUCUCCAAAAAGAAUUCAGUUGUCCUGAGUGUCCUUUCCAGGAUUGGAACCGCGAGGCAGCGGGACCUGUGUCCCAGGAAAGAAAGAAGCGUGUGGCGGGUCACAACACAUUCAGAGGAACUUGCCACAGGUCACCACUUGUUCUUCAGGUCCAUUCAUCGUGUCCUCCAAAUCAUACACUCUCCCCCAAUUUGCCUGCAUCCUAUUCCCCUGACCCCUGUGGAGAGAGUGGUAAAGCUUCUAAGGUUUUUGAGGUGCUGGCGAAGGAACCCAGGGUCUCACACAUGCCAGUCAAGCCCUCUCCACUGAGCUACAUGCCCAGCCCUUUCUAAAUCUUAAGAGUUGUCUCUUGUGAUUUCCCCCACGCACAUAAUAAAAUUGUGAUCUUCUUUU